UGGGGAAUAUUGCACAAUGGGCGAAAGCCUGAUGCAGCAACGCCGCGUGAACGAUGAAGGUCUUCGGAUCGUAAAGUUCUGUUGCAGGGGAAGAUAAUGACGGUACCCUGUGAGGAAGCCCCGGCUAACUACGUGCCAGCAGCCGCGGUAAUACGUAGGGGGCUAGCGUUAUCCGGAUUUACUGGGCGUAAAGGGUACGUAGGUGGUCCUUCAAGUCGGUGGUUAAAGGCUACGGCUCAACCGUAGUAAGCCGCCGAAACUGGAGGACUUGAGUGCAGGAGAGGAAAGUGGAAUUCCCAGUGUAGCGGUGAAAUGCGUAGAUAUUGGGAGGAACACCAGUAGCGAAGGCGGCUUUCUGGACUGCAACUGACACUGAGGCACGAAAGCGUGGGUAGCAAACAGGAUUAGAUACCCUGGUAGUCCACGCUGUAAACGAUGAGUACUAGGUGUCGGGGGUUACCCCCCUCGGUGCCGCAGCUAACGCAUUAAGUACUCCGCCUGGGGAGUACGCACGCAAGUGUG
rnacentral:rRNA from 1 species